GUACUUGAUACAUAUUGGGAAUGAGGGGAGUAGCAGCACGUCCACUUUCACUCUCACAAUAACGCUGCCCAGGCGCAGCCAUGAUUUAAUUAGAAACUUAUUGUCAAAGGAAGUUUGUUUUUUUAACUAGUCGUGCGCACUAGUAAAUUCACUUCAUGUCGUAUGUUUAACUUCUCUUUGCUAGCCGAUUAAUAAUACUUAGUAUGCUUUUGUCAUGAUAUAUGUUUAUACACUGUUGCCCCCUCAUUUAUGCAAUUUUGCAAGGGGGAUGCUGCCGAAAUUUUAUAUAUAAAUGUUAGAAGUGUUGUUUAGUAGCAUUCCGGGGUGUUGGUGGACCCUGGGGUGUUACAGCAUGUGUGCAAGGUUCCAGGCAAAUCCAAAGGAAGUUCACCUUAGGGCCGUGAAAAGAAUCAUGAGAUAUUUAGUAUACACUCCUAAGUUUGGGCUUUGGUACCCCAAGGGAUCUACCUUUGAUUUAAUUGGGUAUUCAGAUACCGAUUAUGCCGGAUGUAAAAUUGAUUGAAAGAGCACAUUAUGGACUUGUCAAUUUCUAGGAAGAUCCCUGGUGUCUUGGGCUUCAAAGAAACAAAAUUCGGUAGCUCUUUCCACCGCCGAAGCCGAGUACAUUGCCGCAGGCCAUUGUUGUGAGCAAUUACUUUGGAUGAGGCAAACACUUAGGGACUAUGGCUACAAAUUGAGCAAAGUCCCUCUCCUAUGUGAUAAUGAGAGUGCAAUCCGCAUGGCGGAUAAUCCUGUUGAACACAGCCGCACUAAGCACAUAGACAUCCGAUAUCACUUUUUGAGAGAUCACCAACAAAAGGGGGUAUCGAAAUAGCUUAUGUGAGCACCCACAACUAAUUAGCCGAUAUCUUUACCAAGCCACUAGAUGAAAAGACUUUUAGCAAACUUAGGAAUGAGCUAAAUAUACUUGACUCUCGGAAUUUUGAUUGAAAUGUUGCACACAUAGCUAAUUCUUAUACGUUUGACCAUGUCUCUUUCAUUUGGUACAAAUGCAUAUUUCUUAUUCUUCUUGUGCCAAGGCUAAGACUAAUGUGCUUUCAAGUGUAUUUCUAUACUUAAUCUUAGAUUGAAAGGGAAAUGGAGUAUUCGACAAAGACAAGGCUUCCACUCUAACUCUGACGAUAUCAUUUAUCCUUUGCCAUUACUCAUGUAACUCUCAAAGUUUAUAAAUUUCAGGUUUCGCAUAUUCACCCCCCCUUUAGGCAACUUUCAGAGAGGCGGCGACUCAGUAAGGCACAGGCGCGCGGCCGUGCUCGGGCAGCUGGCGGCCGGCCAGGCAGAGGCGGUCGCGAACGGAACGAUGAGCAGAUGGCUCGCUUGUGCGCCUGCGAUACUACAGUUGUGCCUGUUGCGCGGCCACAGAGGGGAAGCACUAGCAGGGAGGCUGCGACUGGGCUGAGUUGAGGUAUGGCGUGGGCUAUACUUGGCCAUAACAGGCCCUCCGCCCCUACUGGCAAAAGCAAUACCAAUUUGAGAAGCAAAUAAACCAUAUCAAACACCUUAUGUCUCUUUGUUUCAACAAUCUUACAAGAUUAGUUAUGUCUUUGAAUCUAUUAUCUUCUCUUGUGCCAUCAAUAUAAUUGUCAAGUUGCAAGUCAA